rnacentral:rRNA from 1 species
AGUGAACGCUGGCGGUAGGCCUAACACAUGCAAGUCGAACGGCAGCGCAGUAAGAGCUUGCUCUUACGGGUGGCGAGUGGCGGACGGGUGAGGAAUACAUCGGAAUCUACUUUUUCGUGGGGGAUAACGUAGGGAAACUUACGCUAAUACCGCAUACGACCUACGGGUGAAAGCAGGGGAUCUUCGGACCUUGCGCGAUUGAAUGAGCCGAUGUCGGAUUAGCUAGUUGGCGGGGUAAAGGCCCACCAAGGCGACGAUCCGUAGCUGGUCUGAGAGGAUGAUCAGCCACACUGGAACUGAGACACGGUCCAGACUCCUACGGGAGGCAGCAGUGGGGAAUAUUGGACAAUGGGCGCAAGCCUGGUCCAGCCAUACCGCGUGGGUGAAGAAGGCCUUCGGGUUGUAAAGCCCUUUUGUUGGGAAAGAAAAGCAGCAGGUUAAUACCCCGCUGUUCUGACGGUACCCAAAGAAUAAGCACCGGCUAACUUCGUG